AUGAUGAAGGGAUGAUGGGUGAGCUACCAAGGCUAACUUUUUCCUGAGGACAUUGAGUUAGGGAAGUGGCCUCUCCUUGAGGGAAGGAGCCAGAUGACUUCUCAGAGAACAACAACCAUAUUCAAAAUAUUCUCAAGUUUCUUUUGUUUCUUCUUGUCUGCAUCUGAUAUCCAGGACAUUAUUCCACAGGAAAAGGUUAACAGGAGAUCAAGAUCGGCCAGAUGCUGGGGAUGCCUUGGUGAAAAAAUUAGAGCAACCCAAAGGAAGUCUUGUGUUCUUGAAAAAGGAAUCAGACAAAUACACAGGAGAACCCCACUAUGAAGCCGGUCAGGUGGGGAGACAGCACCUCCAUUCUCUUUAAGACAGAAAUGUCUAAUUUCUGAGACUCUCUGUCUUGUGGAGCACUGUCAUCUACAUGGACACAGGCAGGAUGGCAGAAGGGUCUGGCUCUUAUCACCUCUGAAUAGCAUGCCAUUCUCUUAGCCUCAUCUAAGAAACAGACUGUAGGGGAAGAGAAGAUCUAGAAUGUUGGUCACCAAUCAAUGGCAGACAUUAUCAGACAAUUUGUGAGCAAGAAAGUCAAGAACUGUGAGCCACCUGCCAUCUUAAUUUGACAUCUAGUCUCACUACUUUCAAGCACCUCCACUUCAAAAUACUCUUACAAGUGAAUCACCAUUGUUAAAUGGAUCUUUGAAGGAAUUUUGACAACUAGACUGAAAACAAUCUAGACAUCUUAGAUAUUUGUGGCUUCACAGAAAAUAAAAUAAAACAACCCUUUUCAGCA